ensembl:lncRNA
GUGUAUCCCUGGAAAUAAUCAGAAUUUGUUUAAACAUAAGCUUUAAAAACAUUGAUUGUCCCCCAAAAAACUGUGCUCUCUUGGCACAACUUGAGGUAAGUUGAGUGUAGGGACAGGGUAAGUUGAGCGUAGGGACAGGGUAAGUUGAGUGUAGGGACAGGGUAAGUUGAGUGUAGGGACAGGAUAAGUUGAGUGUAGGGACAGGGUAAGUUGAGUGUAGGGACAGGGUAAGUUGAGUGUAGGGACAGGGUAAGUUGAGUGUAGGGACAGGGUAAGUUGAGUGUAGGGACAGGGUAGGUUGAGUGUAGGGACAGGGUAAGUUGAGUGUAGGGACAGGGUAAGUUGAGUGUAGGGACAGGGUAAGUUGAGUGUAGGGACAGGGUAGGUUGAGUGUAGGGACAGGGUAAGUUGAGUGUAGGGACAGGGUAAGUUGAGUGUAGGGACAGGGUAAGUUGAGUGUAGGGACAGGGUAAGUUGAGCGUAGGGACAGGGUAAGUUGAGUGUAGGGACAGGGUAAGUUGAGCCGCCUUGAGGUAAGUUGAG